rnacentral:lncRNA from 1 species
CCUGCAUCAGAACCAUCUGGACAGCUUAUUUAAAAAUAUAGAUUAUUUCUCCUCUGUUUCUCCUUGUGAUUAUGAUUCAGUAUUUCUGGGGGCGGGCCAAGGUAUCUUUUGAAAACCAUUAAAAAGCUGUUCAGAAGGCAUUGUCCCAGAGGUAUAUUGUUCCUAUCAACUCUCAAACAAAGGAUUUUUACUGCAGCACAAACCGCAAAGCUGGUAAGGUUAUUUGAAUAGGCUGAGCCAUCAGUGAAAAGAGAGGUUUGGUGUCUCACAAAUAGGACAUCUGAGAAUAUGAAGUCAAUAUGACACUCAGGUGAGUUAGAUUUAUAAUUCCCACGAAGGUGUUUAGGCAUCCUCAGAGGAUCCUAGGGAAACUCAUUAAAAUGUGGAUUACUGGAUCCCAUCUUAUAUCUGUUGAAUCUGAAUAUAAU